UCCUGUCUCUGCAGCAUCCAUGCUCAUGCUCUGUCUCUCUCUCUGUCUUUCAAUAAUAAAGAAACGUAAAAAAAUUAAAUAAAAUCUACAAAUGGAGAAUGAGGUCCACUCCUUAAACUUGUUUACAAACAAAUCUGAACAGCUGGUUUCCGUAAGAACAAUAAGGCCUUUAUUAGAGUUGCACUACAUUGUUUCCAGGACCUUGCAUCUUGCUCUGUGCCGAGCACCCAGCGCCCUGGCCCGAGGUGGGAGACCAGCGCACCCUGAUCGGAAGAGCACACGUAUGAG